UCGGAAGAGGGAACGCUCUUCUCCCUGGGCGAUUCUCUUUUGCAAGAGCAGCGCGGGGGCAAAAACGACGAGUCGAGAUAUCGUUUCUGCCGCCACUCCUCCCGUUGGCGGUACGAUUGUUGCUCGACCACAU